rnacentral:tRNA from 1 species
GGGCCGGUCGUCCAGUUGGUUAGGAUACCCGCCUGACGCGCGGGUGGUCGCAGGUUCAAGUCCUGCCCGGCCCA